CAGCUUUGUGUGACAGGUUGAAGAUUACUUUGCAUGUUAGUCACAGCAGGAUAUUAGAACAUGUUAGUCAGGAGAACAAGAGAGUUUGCAUUUUGUGUUUUCAUAGCUGCUUUGUUUAAAGGUGGAGAAUGUGCAGAAAAAGUAACUCAACCAGCUCAUGUACAAGCUGUAGAAGGCAAAGAAGUCAAAAUAUUAUGUAGCCAUUCAGAAGCAUCUAGGGGUAUCCAGUGGUAUAAACAGGUGGCUAAUGAAGGUCCAAAAUUUCUAAUUCAGAAACAUGAUGGAAAGGAAAGGCAAGGUCGGUUUACAUUAGAAGUUGACAGAAAAGCAAUGACUGCAAACCUUACCAUAAGGGACGUAACAAUCACAGACACAGCCUCCAUCUACUACUGUGCAGUGGAGGACACAGUAAAACAAAACCUAGCAACUGCACCACAAUAA